rnacentral:rRNA from 1 species
AACGAACGCUGGCGGCAGGCCUAACACAUGCAAGUCGAGCGAGAUCUUCGGGUAUAGCGGCGGACGGGUGAGUAACGCGUGGGAAUAUGCCUCUUGGUACGUAAUAGCCUCGGGAAACUGGGAGUAAUACCGUAUGUGCCCUUUGGGGGAAAGAUUUAUCGCCAAGAGAUUAGCCUGCGUUGGAUUAGGUAGUUGGUUGGGUAAUGGCAUAGCAAGCCUAUGAUUCAUAGCUGGUUUGAGAGGAUGAUCACCCACACUGGGACUGAGACACGGACCAGACUCCUACGGGAGGCAGCAGUGGGGAAUCUUAGACAACCGAGGAGAGCGUGAUAUAGCCAUGCCGCGUGAGUUAUGAAGGCCUUAGGGUUGUAAAGCGCUUUUAGCUGGGAAGAUAAUGCCGGUACCAGAAGAAGAAGCCCCGGCUAACUCCGUG